GGCCACAUGGCGCAGUGGUUAGCGUCUGGCUACGCAUUGGUGUGGGAAAUCAAUGCGCGUGGGUUCGAAUCCCACUGUGGUCG
rnacentral:tRNA from 1 species